CAACAAACCAAAUGGACUUCAUGUGAAAUUAUUGACUACUCUGUGCCUCUCAGCCUCAAUUAGCCCCUAAUUCUAGGCACCUGGAAGCCAAAGCAAACCAUAAGGAGCCACAAGCACUACCCCAAUGUAGCAUCUCUGGAAGGAAGUUUCACAUGAACCACAUUGGCUCUCUGAGGUAUCCAUUUCAGCAGGGAUGCAAGUUUCUGGCAGAGGAAGAAGCAGCAACAAUGCCCAACAAAAGUGCCAGCGGCAGCAGAAGAGAUUGGAAAAAGUCUUGCCAAUGCCUGAUGGAGACAGUGCAUCCGUGGGGAACAGAAUGUAAAUCAAAGUGCCUUCCUACAGUUUUCCAACAGAGUGGUCUUGGCAGUAGGCAUCCCUGUGGGAAGCUGAAUCUGGAGAUGAAAGGAGGGUAG
rnacentral:lncRNA from 1 species